rnacentral:rRNA from 1 species
GUGCCAGCAGCCGCGGUAAUACGGAGGGAGCUAGCGUUGUUCGGAAUUACUGGGCGUAAAGCGCACGUAGGCGGCUUUGUAAGUUAGAGGUGAAAGCCCGGGGCUCAACUCCGGAACUGCCUUUAAGACUGCAUCGCUUUGAAUCCAGGAGAGGUGAGUGGAAUUCCGAGUGUAGAGGUGAAAUUCGUAGAUAUUCGGGAAGAACACCAGUGGCGAAGGCGGCUCACUGGACUGGUAUUGACGCUGAGGGUGCAAAGCUUUGGGGAGCAAACAGGAUUAGAUACCCUGGUAGUCC